rnacentral:tRNA from 1 species
GGCUACGUAGCUCAGCUGGUAGAGCGCUUGCCGCGUAGAGGCAUGGUGUUUCUGCCGCUGGUUCGAAUCCAGCCGAAGCCC